rnacentral:tRNA from 1 species
AGGCCGGAGGCGAUCAACGCACCGCGGCCGAUCUCGCCGGCCUCGCCGAAGCCGUUGGCGAUGUUCGCGGCGAUCGAGUUGCCGCCGUUCUG